rnacentral:lncRNA from 1 species
AGAGAGAGAGAGAGAGAGAGAGAGAGAGAGAGAGCAGGACUGCUGUGCUCUCAGGAGCACGGAGGCCUCCGUGCUCUUGAGCCGUUUUUUAUGAUGGAAUUUUCGAAUCGACGAUCGGCUCCGUUAGACUUGAUCUAACGCAAUUGAAGUUUCUAGAAAAUAAUUUUUGCAAUUUUUUGAUUUCAUUUACCUAGUGAUCGAAAGGAUUCAAAAUCCAUAAUUUUUAAUGGUUGAUAUCUGCCGUUUUCAAGUUUAACGGUAUAGAAGUAUUCAAAUCAGAUGAAAUUUUGAUACAAAAUUCUUUAUACUAUCUAUAACAAGAUCAAUAUUUCUGAUCGAAAAUUUUAGUACCAUAUCACCACUUUUUAUAAGAUUUUUAUUUUCAGCCGUUAAAAAUUAUUGAUUUUGAAUCAUUUCGAUUGCUAGGUAAAUGAUAUCGAAAAAUCGCAAAAAUUAUUUUCUAGAAACUUCAAAUAC